UCACUGUUGUGAAUCCUUGUGCGGUUGUGCCUAGAUAUAUCUAAAUGCAUCUGCUGCUAUAUCUCUCAAUACUCAAUAGCACGGUUUCAUGGCGAAUCAGUGCCACUGUUAUGUGUGUUGAUGUUUGAACCGAACCAGCGAUUUGUUAGAACUUAUAUUGUUUCUUGUAUAGGAUGUCAGCUUUCCAAAUCAUAAGAAUAUUUGCUUUGCUUUGUUUUUUAUAUUUGCAGGUUGGCAAUUCCGAAGUUAUUGCCUUUCUACUUCAAACUGAAAUAAUUCCUCUUUGUCUUUAAUAUGGAGAUGGGCACUGAACUUUAAAAAGCAGUAUGAACUCAACCCCUUCUAUAAAUCAAAUAUUUCAUUUGCGGGGACGACGUGGGGCUCAUGUCGAGCACUUCACCUGCAAUGGGUGUGGCCUUCUCCGUCUGCCAAACAUGCUACAAGUACGAGCACCAUGAGGGAACUGCCUGGAGUGCAAGACCCGCCACAAGCUCCUCAAGGGUCAGUCAGCCUCCACCCACGGCCGAAGGCACUUGCAGAUGUGAAGAAUAUCCAUGUCCGAUUACAUCGCCAGAAAGCAAAAACCAUGAGAGCCCACACUAAUCAUCAAGGACUAUUUACAUGCCUAUAAUUAGGCCCACCAGUUUGGAUGGCAAACAAUUGCAGCUGCGAAGAAUAGGAUAUCUUCUCGAUCUCAGGGAUCAGCCCAUCUGAUCUUUUGUUUGAUUGGGGUUGCGGUUUUGUUGGGCAUAUAAGUUUGUGCUGGGUAUAUGAUCAUAUUUUUGCUGGCACUGAUGUAUGGCCUUCCUUAUGGUUAUUUUUUAUAAAAAUAAAUUGUGUCAGUUUUGCCGUC